GACAAAAUGGCGUCACCCAUAAAAACUGUAAAUGGCUGCUUAGCGGUUCGGCUCUAGUAGAUAAUAGAACCAUCUGGUUCAUUUUUACCAGUAGUUACCACCGUGUUACAGGUGUUGCAAGCACGACUGUGCGGAAUGAACUUUUAUCGCGCGAUGUGUGCACAAAAUGUCAUGCCCGCUCCCAAGUUUUGAAGGUGUCCAGAAGCGGUGCACGCAUCUAUAUACAGGACCCAUAAAUGGGAUGAGCAAGCUGAAAUCUACUAUCACUGCUCAAGAAAAGAAAAAGAAUUAAAGGGACGUAGCGGCCACCACUGGUGCAAUCAAUGAUGGCAGUGAUGUGUUGACUGUUUCUCUCAAUGUUUUCGAAAGAUUCAGCUGCUUCAUGAAACUAUGAAAAUAUUGUAACAUAAAUCUUUUUCUUUACGAAAUGCU